CAGACUUGUGGGGAUAAUGUUUUAAAGUGUAGUAUUAAUUACUCAGUCAUACCACUCAAUAAAUAGGGCAUGCCACUACUUUUCUUAAGAUGCUAAUUAUCAGCCAAUGUUCAAAGACAUUUUUAACUGUGGGCAAAUUAGUGGAUGGACUUUUUUGUCUGUCACUUUUUAAAAAAGUACUUAAGAUACAAGUUUUAUUAGUACCACAGUCUGCCUUCAGUAAUAUGCCUAAAAUAUUUUUCAGGGCCAGGAGCAUUCAGUUGAAAGAAAAUCUUUUUUACGACUGCAAAAUAGUAUUAAAACUAAUGCCCUGGUCCAAGAUUAGGUUUUUAAUGAUAUUAACAGUAGUCUGAUAAACAUCUAGAAGUCUGGCAUUGAGAAACAAAAGCUUGUACCUGACUAGCAGUUCAAAAACUAUCUGUACUAUCUGUACUGCCUCUGAUGUUAAGAUUUUAUGUAUAGCAUAAGGAAGCUAGCUCUGACUAUAUUUUCCUAAGAAUAAAGACCUAUUUUUGUAGCAUGUCUUAGGAUCUCCAGGAGUCCAAGA
rnacentral:lncRNA from 1 species